GUUGUUUCAGCUCCAGUCCAACUCCAAUUUAUAAGUAGCAGAUAUGCAUUAUAGGAUACCUAUCUCUUUUCUAGAAUACCUAUGCAAAAUUGCUACCCCUGUUAAUGUUAAUGCUCUAAACUUUGGCUAUAUCUGUCAAAAUUUCACUAAAAUUACAAAUAUAUAAAAGGAUAAGAAUAAAUACUAGACUUUAUCUUGUUAUUAGAUGAGCCCUUAGUAAAAAUUAAAUUAUUCACAUACAAUACUUUUGGUAGAUUAUUUUAUACAGGGUUAUGAAUUUAUAAAUAUGUCAUAUAUAGUGCAAUAUAAAAAGUAUUAUUGAACAUUUAUUUUAUUUCUUUUUCUCACUUCCUUAUUAUAAAAUUAGAAAAACACCUUUUUAUUUAACGUUGACAUACUCAACUUCAAUGGAAAAUGGUACCAGGUGUGCCAAAUGAAGCGAAUAUAAAAAUAGAAAGGUCAGCUGCCAAGAAAAUAAGUAUUGAGUAUUUAAGCGUUUUUGGCGGAAGAUACAGACCGUAGUAAGCUCAAAAAUGUUAAUACUACAUGGUUAAGUAAUCAGGACUGAUUGGACACUUUUACUUUUUUUUUGCUAAAUAAUAGGACACUUUUACUUUGUUGUCUGCCAAAUAUUGAUACUUUACUUUACUUAACUAUGAUGUUUCAUCGUUUGCUGUUAUAAAUUUCUACUUUGGCACUGACAAGACUCAAUUCCAGGACACAAAAAUAAGUAUGAGUACUUAAAGUAUUUUCCGCGAAACUAACAAUACAGACUGUAGCAAGCUCGUGAAUGUAAUACUAUAUGGUUAAGUAAUCAGGAUUGAUAGGACACUUUUACUUUGUUGUUGCAAAACAUUGAUACUUUACUUAACUCCGAUGUUUCAUCGUUUGCUGUUAUAAAUUUCUACUUUGGCACUGACAAGACUCAAUUCCGAGACUUCUAAUGGCUCAACUUCCAGAUCCUCUUCUGCUAGAAAUCUUCCAAAAACUCCCUCUUAAAUCGGUCUUCCUUUCGGAAUCAGUCUCCAAACACUGGCUAUCCUUGAUCUCAGACCCUUUUUUCGCCCGAUCAUACACUCGCAAUAUCACCACCACCAACAAUUACACACCUCCCUGGACACUCUUCUCCACCUUCCAUGAGGUGAGUCUCGAUGAACGUGCCAUUAUUCGUGAUCCUGAGCUGGUAAAUAUCGACAUCUCAUUAAGGUUUAUGAUCCCUGUUAUAUAUUCUGUCAAUCAAGCAGCUGUUUCACUUAAACUAUUGGAUUCAAGUAAAGGGUUGUUGCUUGCAUGUUCUUUAAAUGAUGAUUCUCAAGUUCUUGAUUAUUUUGUUUGCAAUCCUUUAACUAAGAAAUGGGUUGGUCUACCUAAAUUCUUGAGUCAGCCCAAAUGGGUCAAAGCUGUAAUUAUGGUAGAUGAUGAUUCUGGUGAUUAUUUUGUGGUUAGAAUUGUUCAAUUGACUUGUUAUUCCAAGGUUUUUAAUUUUGAGGUGUUUAGUUCUGAGUCAAGUCAAUGGAAAUAUGUGAAGGUGUGUUGCGAAAAGGGUCUUAGAUUCUUUGUGAUGAGAAGACACACUGUUUGUUACAAUGGGCUGAUUCAUUGUUUAGCUGAUAAUCAUACCAUUUUAGUGUUUGAUCCGAGAAGUGAUGGUAGCAAGUGCCGCUUGAUUGAUUUGCCUUGCGAUAGGGUCAGUAGAAUUGUUGGAGUUAUCGGGGUUUCUUGUGGUUUUAUGCGGUAUGUUGAGGUGGCUGAUACCUAUCUAGAGCCAACUGAAGAACCCAGUUUAGGUGUCUGGCUUCUUAAAGACUAUGAUGCUGGAGAAUGGAUUUUGGAGUACAGGAUUGAAUUGAGUGAAUUUUGUUCUAGCGAUCUUUAUGUUACUAGUAUGUUUUCACGUCUGGGCGAUAUCACAAGAGCUGUAGCUUUUCAUCCAUUCGACCGUGAUAUAGUUUAUCUGAAUUGUUCGAGUCACUUAAUUUGUUGCCAGCUUUCAACCAAAAUGGUGGAAGUUGUAGAGUGUGCAAGCGACAAAAUGCGAGAUUCAUUAUUUAACUUUGAGGUGUUUCCCUUUGCACUUCCACCAUGGCCUACUCCAAUUUCUAGAAAACUCAGAGUACACGAGUCUCUCGAUCCCCUUUUGGUUGAGCUUCCUGAUUCUAUGCUGAUGGAGAUCCUGCAAAAAUUGCCACUCAAAUCAAUUUUCUGCUUCAAGUCAGUCUCCAAACACUGGUUCUCUUUAAUCUCUAACCCAAAAUUUGCCAAGUCAUACACUCUCCAAAUCUUCACCAAAAACAAUUAUUCACCACCAUGCGCUAUUUUUUCAAGCUUGGAUCAAAUGGGUUUUCAGGAAAGAGUACUUAUGCGCGACCAGGAGCUAGCACACACAAACUUUUCACUUCAGUUUCUUGGCCCCAUCAUUGGCCAAGCUUCAACCAAACUCUUAGAUUCAAGCAAUGGUUUAUUGCUUUUAUGUUCUAUGAGCGACUCUCAAAUUCUUGACUAUUACGUCUGUAAUCCAUUAACAAUGAAAUGGGUCUGUCUCCCUCAACCUCUGAGGCAACCCAAAUGGGUAAAAGCUGCAAUUCUUGUUGAAAAAGUUUCUGGCAAUUUUCUAGUGGUGAGAGUUGCAGAAUUGCUAUUCCGUUCAAAGGUUUUCAAUUUUGAAAUAUUCUCCUCAAAGUUGGGUGAAUGGAGGGACUUGACUAUGAAUUGUUCCCGCAGGAUCAGGUUCUUUGUGAAAGCACGUCACACGGUUUGUUACAAUGGGAUGAUUCUCUGGCUCGUAGAUAACCACACUAUUUUGGCAUUUGAUCCCGAAGGCAAUACUAACGACUGCCACUUCAUAGAUUUGCCUCCCGAUACAGAGAGUAUGCAUUUGGGAGUUCUUGGGGUUUCUUGCGGAUUGCUUUGUUACAUGGAAGUGUCAAAUAAUAAAUAUGAAGAGUUUAGAGAACAAAGCCUAGGGGUAUGGACUCUAAAGGACUACGACGCUGGAGAGUGGUGUCUGGAGUGCAGGAUUCAACUAAAUGAAUUUUGGUGUGGUGAUGAUGCCUCGGAUAAUAGGUGGGAUCCAGAUACUGCAUUAUGUACUCGGCCAUUGGGUUUCCACCCGUUUGAUUUCGACAUGGUGUUUCUGGAGCAGGGACGUCGAUUAUAUUGCUGCAACGUCUCAACAAGAGUUGUGAAAAUAGUGGAUUGUGAAAGCCACCUGAAUAAUUCCCUCUUCAAGUUUGAAAUGUUUCCAUUUGUGCUUCCGCCGUGGCCAACUCCAGUCCCUCAACCAAUCUGGGAGACUGAUCAAAGUGCAAAUUGAACUGGAGGGAAGGAGAGAGGCCAUAGUGUUUAUGUGAAGUCAUCAACCAGCAGCACCCACCAAUAUUGUUUCUACUCCGCGUAUAUUGACUCUCUAUCAAAAAUACCUCACAGGCUCAGGACUGUUUACUACAAGGGCACCAGACCAAGAAGCUAACCAGAUGAGGCUGAGGUCUGGCCAAACAUAAAGAGAAUACUUAUGUGGUAUGACCUAGUAGCUCUUGUGUUGUGGUAUGCUUGGUGCUGGAGUUUUCGUCACUACAGGCCGUGUUGCUAGAGCCAACUCUGGCCCUUCUGUAUUCAUCUCAUAUAUUAUUGCUGGUUUAUCAGCUCCCUCUCCUCUUUGUGUUAUUCAGAGUUCUCUGUGCAUAUUCCAGUUGCUGGUGGUGCUUUUAGCUAUCUACUGGUUACUUUAGGACAAUUUGUCGGUUUUUUGCUGGAGCAAACAUAUUGAUGGAGUGUGUGCUUUCAAAUGCUGCGGUUGCAAGAAGUUUUACUGAGUACUUAUGUUGUGCUUUGAGGAAAAUGAUCCAAAUUCAUGGAGAUUUCAGGUGGAUGGACUGGUAAAGGGUUACAACAUGUUGGAUGGUAUACCAGGAAGGAAAAGUUCUAUGCUUAAAAGCGUUCUGAAUUUAUAAGUUAGAAGUACUUAUUCGUACUGUUUGUGUAAAAAGUCAAGAAGUAUUUAUAAGGAGUUGAGAAUAUUGGUGGUGUUUGUUUACAAGAAGCUGAAGCUGCUUGUGACUUCUGCUUUUCUUGACCCGUUUGUGUAAAGAAGUAGAAGCACUUUUAAGAAGUUGAGAAUACUAGCUUC